rnacentral:lncRNA from 1 species
UUAGAGCAAGAUUUGGUUAUGCAUCUAUACCUUGAGUUUGGAUGAUGACAAUGUUGUAUUUGUGUGAGAACAAUUUUGGUACCCUGAUGGGUUGUUAUUGUGUAGCCUUAACAACCAGUUAUGAUUCUGAGUAUAUGACGUGCAACGUCAUCAAUUUCUGAAUAUUGUGUUCCAAAUUUGGCUUCUGCGUUAAUCCUGAAAAGUUCUGAAAGAUAUCAAGUUGUUAUUGCAAUGUUUUUUUUUGCUUUUAUGCUGAUUAACUCCUGAGAAGUUUUUGAAGAUAC